rnacentral:rRNA from 1 species
CAGCUCUCCGAGUCGUAGGGAUGUUUAUUGGGCCUAAAGCAUCCGUAGCCGGCUGGACAAGUCCUCUGUUAAAUCCAGCGACCAAUCGUUGGUCUGCGGGGGAUACUGUCCGGCUUGGGGGCGGGAGAGGCCGUCGGUAUUCCUGGGGUAGGGGUGAAAUCCUAUAAUCCCAGGAGGACCACCAGUGGCGAAGGCUGUCGGCUAGAACGCGCCCGACGGUGAGGGAUGAAAGCUGGGGGAGCGAACCGGAUUAGAUACCCGGGUAGUCCCAGCUGUAAACGAUGCAGGCUAGGUGUUAGGGCGGCUACGUGCCGCUCUAGUGCCGCAGGGAAGCUGUUAAGCCUGCCGCCUGGGGAGUACGGCCGCAAGGCUG